rnacentral:lncRNA from 1 species
CACUGGGAGAAGUGAUGUCACUCCCCUCCAUAACCUUGCUAACUCAGCAAAAACAGAAGUGGAACAAAGCAAGAAAAGCCCAGGCUACACAGAAGCCUUGUUAAUGGACAUGCCACUGUGACCUCUGAUGAGGGUGCCCAUGCAUUCUUCCCGUAAGCACUGAGCAGCUCUCUGUGGACAGCUGGGAAGCUGGGAACACGGGGCUCAGAGCUCAUCCAAGGAAUGCCAAGGCGGUGAUUCAAAAUAAGAAGCUAAAGGCAGGAGCUAAAGCACAGACCAC